UACGAAGGGGGCUAGCGUUGCUCGGAAUCACUGGGCGUAAAGCGCACGUAGGCGGCUUUCUAAGUCAGGGGUGAAAUCCUGGAGCUCAACUCCAGAACUGCCUUUGAUACUGGAGAGCUAGAGUCCGGAAGAGGUGAGUGGAACUGCGAGUGUAGAGGUGAAAUUCGUAGAUAUUCGCAAGAACACCAGUGGCGAAGGCGGCUCACUGGUCCGGUACUGACGCUGAGGUGCGAAAGCGUGGGGAGCGAACAGG
rnacentral:rRNA from 1 species